rnacentral:rRNA from 1 species
AUGUCUUCCUCUGCCACAUCCCACUCAAGCCUCAAUGGCCAGGUUCCGGAGCAACUCUCUCGCACAAACUAUGUGCUCUGGCGUACACAGAUCACGCCUCAGCUGAGAGGGGCAGGUCUCUUUGGCUAUGCCGAUGGCACCAUGCCAGAACCAGCGCGCCUUCUCGUCACCAAAGACAAGGACGGGAAAGAGACUUCCGAGCCCAACCCUCUCCACCCCAUCUGGGUCAGGGAGGACUAGUAGGUGCUCAGCUACCUGCUCAGCAAUCUCUCCAAGGAGGUGCUGAUCACGGUGACCGCAAUCACCACCGCGCACGGCCUCUGGUCGGCGCUGGUGGGCAUGUUUUCAUCGCAGUCUCUAAGCCGCUUCAACAACAUCCACACCGCCCUCACCAAUGCUCAGAAGGGAAACCAAUCUGUCGCCGCCUACUUCGCCUUCAUGCGUGGCCUCGCCGAUGAACUCGCCGCGGCGGGCAAACCCAUCCAGGAUGACGAGCUCAUCUCUUACAUCCUUCACGAGCUGGACAUAUAUUACCAGCCCCUGGCCUUAGCUCUCGACGCCCGCGUGAUACGUCUCCAACGUAUCUAUAAUUUUUGA